UACGAAGGGGGCUAGCGUUGCUCGGAAUCACUGGGCGUAAAGCGCACGUAGGCGGCUUCUUAAGUCAGGGGUGAAAUCCUGGAGCUCAACUCCAGAACUGCCUUUGAUACUGAGAAGCUUGAGUCCGGGAGAGGUGAGUGGAACUGCGAGUGUAGAGGUGAAAUUCGUAGAUAUUCGCAAGAACACCAGUGGCGAAGGCGGCUCACUGGCCCGAUACUGACGCUGAGGCGCGAAAGCGUGGGGAGCAAACAGG
rnacentral:rRNA from 1 species